AAACAAUUUACAGAAAUUACUAUUAACAAUAAUUACAUUCCAGCUUUUAAACUUACUAUUGAAUAAAAUAAAAAAAAAGCAAAAUGAAUAAUAUAUUUUGUUUAACAAAAUAAUCAUACAAAUUUAUUUUUAUACAUAACAUUUUAUUGAUACUGAUAACAAUUUUAUUUUUUUAUACAUUAUUCUCACUGAAUAAUAACAGUUGAAUAACAUUUCAUAUUGAUCAAAUACAACGUAACUUUCUACGAAACAUCAAACAAAAAUGAGUUUUUUACAUAUACACGACAAAACUGCAGAUAGUAAAUAUGUGAUAUGGUGGAAUGCUGUGCAUUAUGAAUGGAAAGACACCAUGAAAUUGAGGAACAUUAUUAUGUCUAAAGCUAAAUAUGUAUUAUAAUCGUACUUUCUAUGUAAAAAGGUUUCAGAACUUACUUUCAACAUUUUGGUAAUUGAAAAAUAUAUAAAGAUCGUGUAAAAAUAAAAAGAAUCACUUUAAUAAUACGGAAGACAGUCAAACCGCUGCAAGAUAGUACGUCUUAACCCGGCUGGAUUCGCAGACCAACUGCAAAUUAUCGAUGUGAAACUUUGAACCAUGUAUACGCAUAUCUUUAAUAAUGAAUCAAACAAGAAUAAUUCGAUCUGAUAAUAAAAAAAAA